CACAUAAGUCUUAUCUUCUUCUUCUUUGUGUUUCAGAUUACUGUGGUAUAUUAUAAAGCUAUGCCGGCUAUCGAAAUCCUUGACAAAGUUCUCAGAAUCCAUAGCCGAAGCUUCAUCUUGAUGUAAAAGGCCCUGGAUUGCUUCUGGUAUGGGCUGAUCCUUCAUUACACUUUUCCAAUAAUCCCUUGGUUCCUUUCUUGCAUGGUUGAGGUUUCCAUACUAUAUAUUCAAUAAAAAAAAGAUCAAACACACAUGAAAAGAUUGAUAAAUACAAACUAAAUGAAAACUUCAUGGGAACAUAAUAAAGAAACUGGGUAAUUUUUUUCACUAGAUCAGUUGCUGACCACUAAGAUUACACAUGAAAUACUGCUUACCAGGAGAAAAGAGCAGAAAAUGAAGAAAAAAAAGAGAGUCUUCAUGUCAUUGGUAGCCUGUUGAAGCUGAGUUAGAUUGUUUUUGCUGUUGUGUGUUGUAGCUGCUAAAAACUCCCUAACCCCAUUUUAUAGGCCAUUUGCAGAGGACAAUAAAGUGAUUUCUUUUAUUCUACUUCACCGUUUUAUAGAAAGAAACAAGUAAAACAAAUAGCAUGUGUAAGUUAAUUAAGCUAAGCCUUCGUUGCUAAGGGUUAUGUGUCAACUAAUUGUACUUAUGUUUUCAUGCCUUUUGAUUAAAUUAAGCAAUUUGUGGUCUCAUUUUUAAAUGAUGCUUCCAUUUAGAGAGUGAUGAUGUACCAAACACUAAUUAAUUAAGGGAGGUUGUUAAGGACCAGAAAAUCUUUUUUUUUUAUUGUUUUAUUGACUUAAUAAUUCCCAUUCGCUUAAAUAAGAUUUAUUUCAAUUUUGGUUCUUGUGAUAACAUGGCAUUCUAAGAUUCUUGAAACAUCAUCAUCUAAAUUUUUAUGUGACACGUUAUACAUGACCAAAAUUUAAAAAAAUUGUCAAGUUCCAAAACUAACGUGAGAAAAGUUACUAAGUUCUAAGAUUAACGUGGACAAAAAAAGUUUAAAGACUAGAUGUUGCUUUAUACCUUAAUAAAUUAGUUAUUAGGUAAGAUACAAUAUAGAAAUGUUGAAAUUUAAAUAUAGGUGAGUAUUUGAUACACUAACAAUAUACUUUUUUUGUUCCACAAGUAGUCUUAAAAAAUUGGCAUGUAUAUUUUUUCUAAAAUAAUUAUUUUAUAAAUAAUUUACUAUAAGAUACAUGUCAACUCGUGACUCUCCUUAUAAAGUCUAAAAAUUUCACUAAUCAUAUGUCAUUAAUAUUGAAGGUGGGUUUCUUUGUUCUCAACUUUUGCAUGAUCCUAUUGUUGAUUCUCAACUGACCAGCUACAAAAGAC
rnacentral:lncRNA from 1 species